rnacentral:rRNA from 1 species
UACGUAGGGUGCGAGCGUUGUCCGGAAUUAUUGGGCGUAAAGAGCUCGUAGGCGGUUUGUCGCGUCGGCCGUGAAAGCUUGGGGCUUAACCCCGAGCCUGCGGUCGAUACGGGCAGACUUGAGUUCGGCAGGGGAGACUGGAAUUCCUGGUGUAGCGGUGAAAUGCGUAGAUAUCGAGAGGAACACCAGUGGCGAAGGCGAGUCUCUGGACAUUUCCUGACGCUGAGGCACGAAAGCCAGGGGAGCAAACGGG